GUGGGAUUCUUCGAUGAUCCUCCAUCUCCAGCAUUUUCCUGACUUCCACUUUUAUUUCCUCCCUUUUGGCUGCUGCCACAGGGUAGGGCCUCAUAGUUACGCUGGCCCCAGGGUUUGUAAUGAUGUGGUGAUAUGUCCCGGUUGUGUGACCCGGCUUUGUUGAGAAUACAUCUUGAUAUUUGGCAAUCAUCUCAGUUACCUCUUUCUUCUGGACUGUCGUUAGAUCAGGAGACACCCUCACCUGUUCAUGUUUUUUGUUCCCUGGAUGCAGCUCUUCUCGAAUCACUGUGCAUGCCAUGGUUUCAGAAGGUUGACAUGUUAUAUCUGCUCUACUUUUCGAUGUCCUGGUUGUCACACCUUGUAAUUUACUUUCUCUAUGGGUUCAACUAUUUCAUAGGGCCCUUCCCACUGGGCCAACACCUUACUUUCAGCCCUGGGUACCAGUACCAUUACUCAGUCAUUGGGUUGAAACUGAUGAAGCUUGGCUUGACGGUCAUAGUAUGUUCUCUGGGCCUCUUGGGCCUUCUCUAGGUGCUUCCUUACUAUGGGAGUGACCUGGGCCAUCCAGUCCCUCAUCCGUAGUACAUGUUCUAUUAUGUUCUUCCCCUCACUGGGUUCCUCCUCCCAAAUUUCCUUGGCUAUGUCCAGGAUGCCUUCGGGGUUGCAUCCAUACAACAGCUCAAAGGGGGAGAAGCCGGUGGAAGCUUGGGAGACCUCACAGAUGGUGAGCAUGAGGUACGGUAGUAGGUUGUCUCAAUCUUUCCCAUCCUUGCUUACCACCUUUCUUAUCAGGGCCUUGAGGGUUUGGUUAAAUCUUUCCACUAGACCACCGGUUGUGGAUGGUAAACCGAGAUCCACAGGGUCUGGACAUGGAGCAGGGAACAACUUGGACAUGAAUGGUGUUCCGUGGUCUGUGAGGAUUUCUUUUGGUAGCCCUACCCAGGAAAAGAUUGCCACUAAUUCUUUGGCAAUGCUCUUGGAAGCUGUGUUUCAUAAGAGGACAGCUUCUGGGUACCUGGUUGCAUAGUCUAGGAUGACAGGCACAUAUUGGUGGCCUCGGGUCGUUUUCUCUAGCGGCCUCACAAGAUCCAUGGUGAUCCGCUCAGACGGACCUUCAAUGAUCGGCAAGGGUACCAGAGGAGCUCUUAUAUGUGGACAAGGGCUGUGCGGUUGACAUUUGGGGCAAGAGACACAGUACUGCCGGACGUCUUCAUGUACCUCCGGCCUGAAGAACCUGCGUAAGAUUCUCGCCUGGGUUUUAUGCACUCCCAAAUGUCCUCCAAAAAGGUGACUGUGAGCGAGGCUUAAUAUUGCCUUCUGGUGUUUCCGGGGGACUAGGAGCUGGUGUACCUCCACUCCUGCAUUUGCGCCACCUGUUACAGGAAAUUCCUCUUGAUCACAAAAUAAGGUCCUGGCCCCCGGGCCUUUCCUUCUAUGGGUAUGUCAUCUAUUUCAGCCACCUCCUUCCUGGCGUUCUUGUACCUUGGAUCUUCCACCUGGUCCUGUCCAAAAGUCUCACUAGGAGGGCAGUGAAGCGCUGGAGUGGGUUCCCUAGGAAGAUGAUCAGGGAAGAGAAUUCCAGGGGAAACCUGUGAUGCACAGAAUGGGGCUGAGAUAACUGUUGACAGGAGUCAGGAAUUGCUCCCCUGAAACAGCAGCAGGAUUGGGCAGCUGGAAAUCUCACCAAAGGAGCUGAAACCUUGAUGGGUCAGACAUAGAUGUCCCAGAGUCUCUCUUCUGCCAGAUUUUAAGAAAGUCAGGC